rnacentral:rRNA from 1 species
AUGAAUAAUAGAGGACGGUCGGCAACUACAGCGGCGGCAACGUUUGACGAUUGUUAUUUUUUGGCUUGUGAUUUUUCCAUUACUAGAUUCGAGCACUGUAAUAGGGAAGUCAAUAGGGUUGCCCAUGAACUUGCUAAGCUAGCUAGAUUUUCUAUAGCUUUGAUCUGGUUUCAGAAGCCUUUGAGUGAAAUUGUACCCCUCCUCGUAAAUGAUGUACUUGUUAUUGCAAAUGAAUAA